AAGGAGCAAUAUCAGUGAUUGCGACUGAAGAAUGCAGACUGUUUGUACUGUUUAACAGUAUACAGGAUUUCCUAUUAUUUUGAACAACAACCAGAAUUGACAUAAAUAUGUCCUGGAGAGGUGAUAUAUGAAUAGUAAAUCAAAGCAGAAAUACAUGAUUAAAAAAUUCACUGAGUUCUUUCAAAAGGGUUAUCGACUUGGUGAAAAGCAGACGGACAGAUAAGCAGCAGACAGAUCAGAGUUUUAAGCUGAAGGUGAGUAUUACAUUUGAGCAUUCAUGAGAACAUU